ACCUGGGUGGCUCAGUGGUUGAGCGUUUUAUUUUUAUUAAAAAAUAAAAAAAUAGGGGAUCCCUGGGUG
rnacentral:tRNA from 1 species